AGCGAACGCUGGCGGCAGGCUUAACACAUGCAAGUCGAGCGGGCGUAGCAAUACGUCAGCGGCAGACGGGUGAGUAACGCGUGGGAACGUACCUUUUGGUUCGGAACAACCCAGGGAAACUUGGGCUAAUACCGGAUAAGCCCUUACGGGGAAAGAUUUAUCGCCGAAAGAUCGGCCCGCGUCUGAUUAGCUAGUUGGUGAGGUAACGGCUCACCAAGGCGACGAUCAGUAGCUGGUCUGAGAGGAUGAUCAGCCACAUUGGGACUGAGACACGGCCCAAACUCCUACGGGAGGCAGCAGUGGGGAAUAUUGGACAAUGGGCGCAAGCCUGAUCCAGCCAUGCCGCGUGAGUGAUGAAGGCCCUAGGGUUGUAAAGCUCUUUUGUGCGGGAAGAUAAUGACGGUACCGCAAGAAUAAGCCCCGCCUAACUUCGUGCCAGCCGCCGCUGUAAU
rnacentral:rRNA from 1 species